rnacentral:rRNA from 1 species
CGGACGGGUGAGUAACGCGUAGGAAUCUAUCCUUGGAAUGGGGGACAACCGUGGGAAACUACGGCUAAUACCGCAUGAUGCCUGAGGGCCAAAGACGAAAGUCGUUUGAGGAGGAGCCUGCGUCUGAUUAGGUAGUUGGUGGGGUAAAGGCCUACCAAGCCUGCGAUCAGUAGCUGGUCUGAGAGGAUGAUCAGCCACAUUGGGACUGAGACACGGCCCAAACUCCUACGGGAGGCAGCAGUGGGGAAUAUUGGACAAUGGGCGAAAGCCUGAUCCAGCAAUGCCGCGUGUGUGAAGAAGGUCUUCGGAUUGUAAAGCACUUUUGGCAGGGACGAUGAUGACGGUACCUGCAGAAUAAGCCCCGGCUAACUUCGUG